rnacentral:rRNA from 1 species
UACAGAGGGGGCAAGCGUUAAUCGGAAUUACUGGGCGUAAAGCGUGCGCAGGCGGUUAUGUAAGGCAGAUGUGAAAUUCCCGGGCUCAACCUGGGAACUGCAUUUGUGACUGCAUAGCUAGAGUACGGUAGAGGGGGAUGGAAUUCCGCGUGUAGCAGUGAAAUGCGUAGAUAUGCGGAGGAACACCGAUGGCGAAGGCAAUCCCCUGGACCUGUACUGACGCUCAGGCACGAAAGCGUGGGGAGCAAACAGG